rnacentral:rRNA from 1 species
UACGGGGGGGGCAAGCGUUGUUCGGAAUUACUGGGCGUAAAGGGCUCGUAGGCGGCCAACUAAGUCAGACGUGAAAUCCCUCGGCUUAACCUGGGAACUGCGUGUGAUACUGGAUGGCUUGAAUUCGGGAGAGGGAUACAGAAUUCCAGGUGUAGCGGUGAAAUGCGUAGAUAUCUGGAGGAAUACCGGUGGCGAAGGCGGCAUCCUGGACCGACAUUGACGCUGAGGAGCGAAAGCUAGGGGAGCAAACGGG